GGAAGGUCAACCCGAUAGCCGGCGACGGGAGCGGUCUUGAAAACCGUCGAGGGUUAACAGCCCCUUGUGAGUUCGACCCUCACACCUUCCGCCA
rnacentral:tRNA from 1 species